GCCACUGCUUCCGCCGCCGAGCCUCCUCCGCCCGCCGCUGCUGCCGUUCCAGCAGGCUGGCCCGCUUUUGGGCCAUCUCGUCCUCGGGCUUGUCUUCAUCCUGGGGGCAGGCUCGGAAGAGCACACCUCUGAACUCAAGUCA